CAGGCACUCAGGAGGAAGGUCUAGCAGAGCCAAGAGGACGAUCAAUUCCCUCCUGGCAGGGCUGCCCGCGGGCGGAAGGGGGGUCACUCAGGAAGCAGCAGGCUCCUGACCCAGAAGCAAGGGCCACAGAGCCCUGGGACCAGGAGGAGCCCUUAGACCCCCGGGUACUCACUUAGAAGACAAGGAGUCACAGGGCAGCUUCUCCCACAGGUACUGCCCCUGUCCUUGGUGUGGACAUGCACAGAGAGGCCUGUGCCUGUCACUGAAGGGUCCCACUUGACCUUGAACUCGUGAUCCUCCUGCCUCGCCCUCCCCAGAUGCUGGAUUACAGGCAUGUGCCACCAUGCCGGACUUCGAGAAUAGAAGUGAUGACAGUUCUAACCCAGAACGUGUCCGUAAUAGUUGAUUAAUAUUCACACAAACAAGGCCAAGAUGAAUGGGGUCCUUGUCCCCGUGAGCAUCCUCUGGAAUGACUGUGGCCUUAUCAUGAAUGAUAACACCAGCUCAAGGGGCGCACAUUACAGCAAGUCGUGGAGGGAUGGCCCACACGGAGCGCUCGGCACCGCCCGGAGCCCUCUCUCUACCUCUCUGUCUGGGCACCGGGGACCGUUUAUGGAGCCUGGCGUUGGGUUGUCACUGGGAGAAAAGCCAGCCUCGCUCCGCAGACCCCUCGGCCAGAGGAGACACAGUGUUGGAGAUAAGAAGAUUUUAAAGGAAUAAACCCCACCAGGAGGCUUGGAAGGGGAAAGGCUGAGCGUUCCUUCGGCCCCUUCUUCUCUUUUCUUUCCUUCUCUUUCUCUUUCCCUCCCACUCUUUCUUCCUCCUUCUUUCCUUCCUUAUUAAAAUCAGUCUUUCUGAA